UGCAUCCGUAGCUCAGCUGGAUAGAGUACUCGGCUACGAACCGAGCGGUCGGAGGUUGGAAUCCUCGCGGAUGCAG
rnacentral:tRNA from 1 species